rnacentral:rRNA from 1 species
CCCUUAGAUGUCCUGGGCCGCACGCGCGCUACACUGAGUGUCUGAGAUACGAGUCUGCCUGGUCCGGCAAGGUCUAGGUAAUCGCUAAAAGACACAUCUUGCUUGGGAUAGAUUAUUGCAAAUAUUAAUCUUGAACGAGGAAUUCCUAGUAAGCGCAAGUCAACAGCUUGCGUUGAUUACGUCCCUGCCCUUUGUACACACCGCCCGUCGCUACUACUGAUUGGAUGUUUAAGCGAGGUUCUCGAACUGCUAGCGACUUAGCUUCGGUGAGGUCGCAGUGUGGGAAGUGAACCUAGCUUUGGUGUCUAGAGGAAGUAAAAGUCGUAACA